UCGGACCGGUUCGCAAGAAGCGGUAGUAAAACCGGCAGGAGGCUCCGCCCACCCCCCUGGAUGUCAUCAUUGGCGAUCUGCGCAUGAGCAGAAGCUCAGCACACAUGCGUGAUCCUGUUACAAACCGGUAGUAAAGAUGGUAAUCUAAGGACAUCCUGAUCUGAAAGCUGUUUUGGAAACACUGUGGCCAAAAAUGGGGGGGGGGAAUGCUACAUGAGUCUAAUGCAGCCCUAAAUAAGGAGGGCAGCAUCAACACAGAACCAUAGAGAGCUCUACCCUGUUCCUGACACAAAGCCAAUCUCUGUAUCUUCCAAGGAGAUCGUGGUUCAAGGCCACACCAAGAUUUGAAGUUUGCUGGAUGACCUUCAGACAGUUAUUUUCAUAUCCAAAGUUACCCUACAUGAAGUAGGAAUAAAAAAUGGAAAAAAUCUAGAUUGGAGAACAAUAUGAGCACAACUAGAAUUCAUAGGAUAUAAUAAACUAACUAACUAACUAAAUAAAUAAAUAUAAAGAUCAGCCCAUA